UAGAUCGUUAAAAUGUUUUAAUGGUAGAGCAUAUAAAGUAUACAGAUUCUUGUGAGUCUGAUUUAUUUCAGUACUCAAAAUUUAUUUGCAUAUUAUUGUACAUAUAAAUCUGACAAAGGUUUUUUUUGUUUUGUUUUUUAAGUGAGAAUUUUAAAAUAUAAUUUUGAAAGGUAACAAUUAAUAUUCUUUUUUUAAACAAUAAAAAGAAUAACUAUAAGUAAAAUAAAUUUUGAGUAUAUGUAUAAUAGUAUAUCCAAACUAUUUGAAAUAAAUAAAUAAAAUCAAACAUUAUAUUUUUGUUUUAUUGAAGUAU